rnacentral:rRNA from 1 species
AAUAUUGGACAAUGGGCGAAAGCCUGAUCCAGCCAUGCAGCGUGUGUGAAGAAGGUCUUCGGAUUGUAAAGCACUUUAAGUUGGGAGGAAGGGCAGUGAGUUAAUACCUUGCUGUUUUGACGUUACCGACAGAAUAAUCACUGGCUAACUUCGCGCCAGCAGCCGCGGUAAUACGUAGGGUGCAAGCGUUAAUCGGAAUUACUGGGCGUAAAGCGCGCGUAGGUGGUUCAGUAAGAUGGGUGGGAAAUCCCCGGGCUUAACCGGGGAACUGCUUUCAAAACUGGCAAGCUAGAGUAUGGCAGAGGGUGGUGGAAUUUCCUGUGUAGCGGUGAAAUGCGUAGAUAUAGGAAGGAACACCAGUGGCGAAGGCGACCACCUGGGCUAAUACUGACACUGAGGUGCGAAAGCGUGGGGAGCAAACAGG